UAGAAAUCAAGAACCAAACAUGUAGUCCAUUCAUUGUAAAUGGACAAAGACUGAAGCUCUACGAAGGAGGAGACAUUCCAGCAUACUACUCAAGCCACACUCUGAUUUAUCCACCAAUCCCUACUACUACAGGUGUAUAAAUUCUAAUCGUCAAGCUAAUGACGUUAAACAAGCGCUGCGUGGGAGGCAACCCAUGGUUUUUCUUUCAUUUUACUUUUUCGCAUUUAUUUAUUUUUAUUUAUUUUAUUUUAUCAUAUUUUGCAUUGAGACUAAAAA
rnacentral:lncRNA from 1 species